rnacentral:rRNA from 1 species
UACGAAGGGGGCUAGCGUUGCUCGGAAUCACUGGGCGUAAAGGGUGCGUAGGCGGGUCUCUAAGUCAGGGGUGAAAUCCUGGAGCUCAACUCCAGAACUGCCUUUGAUACUGAGGAUCUUGAGUCCGGGAGAGGUGAGUGGAACUGCGAGUGUAGAGGUGAAAUUCGUAGAUAUUCGCAAGAACACCAGUGGCGAAGGCGGCUCACUGGCCCGGUACUGACGCUGAGGCACGAAAGCGUGGGGAGCAAACAGG